GAUGAACGCUGGCGGCGUGCCUAAUACAUGCAAGUCGAGCGAACGGACGAGAAGCUUGCUUCUCUGAUGUUAGCGGCGGACGGGUGAGUAACACGUGGAUAACCUACCUAUAAGACUGGGAUAAAUUCGGGAAACCGGAGCUAAUACCGGAUAAUAUUUUGAACCGCAUGGUUCAAAAGUAAAAGACGGUCUUGCUGUCACUUAUAGAUGGAUCCGCGCUGCAUUAGCUAGUUGGUAAGGUAACGGCUUACCAAGGCAACGAUGCAUAGCCGACCUGAGAGGGUGAUCGGCCACACUGGAACUGAGACACGGUCCAGACUCCUACGGGAGGCAGCAGUAGGGAAUCUUCCGCAAUGGGCGAAAGCCUGACGGAGCAACGCCGCGUGAGUGAUGAAGGUCUUCGGAUCGUAAAACUCUGUUAUUAGGGAAGAACAUAUGUGUAAGUAACUGUGCACAUCUUGACGGUACCUAAUCAGAAAGCCACGGCUAACUACGUG
rnacentral:rRNA from 1 species